AAAAAAAACAGUUUUUCUCUUCAAUCCACGAUCCCCACUUCUCCUCUAUCUCAAAAACACGUUAUUUUCUCAACUAUAAAACUCUCGAGAGAUACACAACAAUCCUAUGGCUCUUAAAUAAGAUCAAAACAGAUAUAUGGAUUCCAAAUCCUUUUAGGGCUUUUAUUUCUCAGUCAAUUCUCAUGAAUCUCCAAGUAAAAAGGAGUCACAAGGCACAUGGAUCAUGGUUAGAUAUGGCGCACAACGGGUAGGUGGUUCCAGCGAAAUCAUCAAAGGUUGACAUGGUGAAGACAGAGAUCUUUCAAUGUGGAGGUUCAACAAACCAACAAUCAAUAAGAAGGUGUCAGAUAAAUUAUUCUACCAUGAUAUAAUGUGAUCGCUCGCUCUUCAAAGAAAAAUAUUGUAAUAUUAUCAUUCUAUGCUUGGAUCGUGACAAAGAUGAAACUUGAAGAUUAAGAACAACGAAUACUUAUCUUUGAAGAGAGGAAGAGUUUCUUUCAGUUAAUAAUAGUUACUACUUCUCUCUUCAAGCUUCAAGAAGAGUUUCUACAACCGAGGGAGAGAUAAUCGAGUAAUAAGAAUAAGUUACGUGAUGAGGAGAAAAUGUUGAGUUAAUGAAAUAUGUGCGAAAGCAAGUUAUUUUUUCUAUGUGCAAAAGGAUUAUAGAGAUUUUGGUUUUGCUUAACAAUGUUUUUUUUAUAAAUAUUAUUAGAUUCUACAUUGUAGUCUAUUCAAAGUUUAAGAAGUUUUACCUA